UACGUAGGGUGCAAGCGUUGUCCGGAAUUACUGGGCGUAAAGAGCGCGCAGGCGGUCGUUCAAGUCGCGUGUGAAAGCCCCCGGCUCAACUGGGGAGGGUCACGCGAUACUGAUCGACUGGAAGGCAGGAGAGGGUAGUGGAAUUCCCGGUGUAGUGGUGAAAUGCGUAGAUAUCGGGAGGAACACCAGUGGCGAAGGCGACUACCUGGCCUGUUCUUGACGCUGAGGCGCGAAAGCUAGGGGAGCAAACGGG
rnacentral:rRNA from 1 species